GCGGCGAUUCCAAAAAUGGAAAAAAAGAACACCAUCCGUUUCAGCAGCUAAAGUUUUUUAGCCAUUUUGAUUUUCUCGUACACAAGACCAAAAGGAGACCCAAAAAUCGAGAUGGCCAUUCUUGAAUUCUCAAAACACACAUACGACAAAGAAUAUAAGCUUUUCUGAAGAACAAAAACUGAUAUGGCCAUUCUUCAAUUUUGUACAUAGACACUAUUCUGAUCUACACCGAAAUCUGAGGCAUCCGUCGAGGUCGCCGUCGAGGUACUCAUUCGACCUCAAAUGACAUGUUGAAAUGGAAAUGGGAAUGUUGAUGAUACCAUGUUUUACGGUAGUCUAUUUCUGAUUAUUAGGUUUUGUACUCAUGUGCUCCUUGUUAAUUAACUUAUGGCUAUUUACCUCGUCCAGAUUUUGGUUUAGGCAUUUGAACAAAUUCAUUACAUGUUACUGUAUUUUGGUAGAUGAUUCGAGUGGUUGUAAUACUCUAUUAAAGCCCAUGUUUAGUUUCAAUGUUGAUUAGUAGUAAUUCUGACUUUAAGAUGCAUAAGAUUGGCUGUUCUUUGAGCAUGAAGUAUGCUAUGUUACAAUACAGGAAAAUCUCUUACUUGAUUUAAGUGAAA